rfam:Perkinsus marinus ATCC 50983 gcontig_1104296685192, whole genome shotgun sequence.
GGCCCUGUGGCGCAACGGUAACGUAUCUGACUCCAGAUCAGAAGGUUGUCCGUUCAAAUCGGGUCGGGGUCA